rnacentral:tRNA from 1 species
CGCAAGAUACCACGGGGUAUCUGGGGCACUCAUAAUGCCGGGGUCGCGGGUUCGAGUCCCGCCCCUGCUA